UACGUAGGGUGCAAGCGUUAAUCGGAAUUACUGGGCGUAAAGCGUGCGCAGGCGGUUGUGCAAGACAGGUGUGAAAUCCCCGGGCUUAACCUGGGAACUGCACUUGUGACUGCACGGCUGGAGUACGGCAGAGGGGGAUGGAAUUCCGCGUGUAGCAGUGAAAUGCGUAGAUAUGCGGAGGAACACCGAUGGCGAAGGCAGUCCCCUGGGUUAACACUGACGCUCAGGCACGAAAGCGUGGGGAGCAAACAGG
rnacentral:rRNA from 1 species